UCGUUGGAGAGUUUGAUCCUGGCUCAGGACGAACGCUGGCGGCGUGCCUAAUGCAUGCAAGUCGAGCGACGCGCACCUUCGGGUGUGACGGAGCGGCGAACGGGUGAGUAACACGUGAGCAACCUGCCCUGAAGACCGGAAUAGCCCGGGGAAACCCGGAGUAAUGCCGGAUACACUCCCGAUACCGCAUGGUAUGGGAGAAAAUGCUUUAGCGCUUCAGGAUGGGCUCACGGCCUAUCAGCUAGUUGGUGAGGUAACGGCUCACCAAGGCGACGACGGGUAGCUGGUCUGAGAGGACGAUCAGCCACACUGGGACUGAGACACGGCCCAGACUCCUACGGGAGGCAGCAGCAGGGAAUCUUGCGCAAUGGGCGAAAGCCUGACGCAGCGACGCCGCGUGGGGGAUGAAGGCCUUCGGGUUGUAAACCCCUUUCAGGAGGGAAGAAAAUGACGGUACCUCCAAAAGAAGCCCCGGCCAACUACGUGCCAGCAGCCGCGGUAAGACGUAGGGGGCGAGCGUUGUCCGGAAUCAUUGGGCGUAAAGGGCUCGUAGGCGGCUCGGUAAGUCGAUCGUGAAAUCCCGGAGCUCAACUCCGGAACUGCGGUCGAUACUGCCGUGGCUAGAGUCAGGUAGAGGAGAGUAGAAUUCCCGGUGUAGCGGUGGAAUGCGCAGAUAUCGGGAGGAAUACCAUUUAGCGAAGGCGGCUCUCUGGGCCUGUACUGACGCUGAGGAGCGAAAGCGUGGGUAGCAAACAGGAUUAGAUACCCUGGUAGUCCACGCCG
rnacentral:rRNA from 1 species